ACACCAAUAUCAACUGUCUGAGAUCUUUCUCCCAGGAUCAACUGAUUGGGCAAAGAAAAAGUGGAAAUAUUCCUCCUUUGAGAGCCAUUUGGAGGAAACCUUAAACCCUUGUCCCUUUGUUAACCACAGUUCUCUGGCUAAUUCACAUUAGAGACUGCAACUUGAGCCCCAAGGAAGUGGAAGAAAAACAACGAAAAACAUUCUCAAACACCACGGUUACCCAAUGACUUUAGCAAGGAGACUCUGCUGCUGCAUAAGCAGCAGCAACAACACCACACCCCCUUAUGGAAAGUUACAGAAGCUGUACCAUUGGCACUACUAAUGCUCUGUUCCUUGUGAUGGCUCUACAAACAUUUUGAAGAACAUUAUGAGGGAAGUGAGGAUCUCUUUAAUGACAUGGCCACUUCCCAGCAACAAAACCCGGAAGCAGAACUCUGAAAAGUGACUCCACAAGAGAUACAGAUGGCAGAGCCAGCUCCUGAGACCAAGAGGAUAGGUAGCAUAGACACACCCUUGGGCAAAUCACUUGAGAGCAUCUCAACAUGUUCUACAGUGUCACAUACCGCUGGCAGCGCACCCAAAGGAUCCAGUGAGGACCAAUGGAAGCAUCAACUGACAGCUGUUGUCGUGGGAAAGAAAGUUAAAAAGACAAGCUGGAUAGUUACACUCAUGAACAUAAGACACAAUGGCCAUCAGGAGAAGAAAUAUCGGUUCUUGACUUGAACACUUUUACAUUGGAAAAGGGCUGGCAAAGAUUUCUGAAGAAAAAGCAUUCGUGGUGUCAAAAAAGCAAAGACUGUGACUGAUGAAAUCAUACAGACACAUACUGAAGGUAAUGCGGCGAUAUCAAAUUGUAGGCAAAUUUGGAGCAAAAUGCUAAAAGUUAACAGGCAAACAAGGUAGAAUUUGGCAAUCUACCCCUAAAUAAAUAAGCUAUUUCUCUUUUUGUGAAACUUGUUUCCUAAACAGCAUGGUAGAUAUAUGCACUGAGCAACGCUAGUCCUAGAAGGAGUUACAUGAAGAAUGUUUUCAUUAAACUUUUUAUCUUCUCUAUACAAAUUAAAUUGGGACUUCUACUCUGGGUUAAUGAGGGUGCGCACAGGAAAGUGAUGGAUGGCUGGUGAAAGACCCUGUGUGAAAGGCAGGGAUGCGAAGAUCUCCCAGGGUGGGAGGCUGGGAGAAGAAAGGUGAGAGAAGAGUCCACCCCCUUCUGUGUGAGACAUGGGUUGAGAUCUGCCUUUGAGAG